rnacentral:rRNA from 1 species
UACGAAGGGGGCUAGCGUUGCUCGGAUUUACUGGGCGUAAAGGGCGCGUAGGCGGACAGUUUAGUCAGAGGUGAAAGCCCAGGGCUCAACCUUGGAAUUGCCUUUGAUACUGGCUGUCUUGAGUACGGGAGAGGUGAGUGGAACUCCGAGUGUAGAGGUGAAAUUCGUAGAUAUUCGCAAGAACACCAGUGGCGAAGGCGGCUCACUGGCCCGGUACUGACGCUGAGGUGCGAAAGCGUGGGGAGCAAACAGG